rnacentral:rRNA from 1 species
GACGAACGCUGGCGGCGUGCCUAAUACAUGCAAGUCGAGCGAAUGGAUUAAGAGCUUGCUCUUAUGAAGUUAGCGGCGGACGGGUGAGUAACACGUGGGUAACCUGCCCAUAAGACUGGGAUAACUCCGGGAAACCGGGGCUAAUACCGGAUAACAUUUUGAACCGCAUGGUUCGAAAUUGAAAGGCGGCUUCGGCUGUCACUUAUGGAUGGACCCGCGUCGCAUUAGCUAGUUGGUGAGGUAACGGCUCACCAAGGCAACGAUGCGUAGCCGACGUGAGAGGGUGAUCGGCCACACUGGGACUGAGACACGGCCCAGACUCCUACGGGAGGCAGCAGUAGGGAAUCUUCCGCAAUGGACGAAGGUCUGACGGAGCAACGCCGCGUGAGUGAUGAAGGCUUUCGGGUCGUAAAACUCUGUUGUUAGGGAAGAACAAGUGCUAGUUGGAUAAGCUGGCACCUUGACGGUACCUAACCAGAAAGCCACGGCUAACUACGUGCCAGCAGCCGCAGUAA